AGAGUUUGAUCCUGGCUCAGGAUGAACGCUAGCGGCAGGCCUAACACAUGCAAGUCGAGGGGUAUAUUGAGCUUGCUUAAUAGAGACCGGCGCACGGGUGAGUAACGCGUAUGCAACCUACCUUCUACAGGGGAAUAGCCCGAAGAAAUUCGGAUUAAUGCUCCAUGGUUUAAUUGAAUGGCAUCAUUUAAUUAAUAAAGAUUUAUCGGUAUAAGAUGGGCAUGCGUAUCAUUAGCUAGUUGGUAUGGUAACGGCAUACCAAGGCGACGAUGAUUAGGGGUCCUGAGAGGGAGAUCCCCCACACUGGUACUGAGACACGGACCAGACUCCUACGGGAGGCAGCAGUGAGGAAUAUUGGUCAAUGGAGGCAACUCUGAACCAGCCAUGCCGCGUGCAGGAUGACGGUCCUAUGGAUUGUAAACUGCUUUUGUACAGGAAGAAACCUCGCUACGAGUAGCGAUUUGACGGUACUGUAAGAAUAAGGAUCGGCUAACUCCGUGCCAGCAGCCGCGGUAAU
rnacentral:rRNA from 1 species